rnacentral:lncRNA from 1 species
AAAAAAAAACAUUCUGGUAGAUGGUAUUCUAGAAGUACGUGGAUGUCCAGGACCAAACUAUUCAACUUCUGGUGGCAACAAUGCAUUAGGUGGGAAAAUAAUGUCGGGAACUUCCCACUUGCCUUCAUUCGGUAGAGAAAAUAUAGUCUCAGUAUAUGUUGCUCUCUAAGAAUUAGCAGAGGAAUAAGAAGAGCAUAAUGUUCUCGUUGCAAAGUCUUGAUAUAUAGCUACCGCGAUUGCAUGCUCCCACAGAAAACUUUCCAACUAAAAUCGACUCCAAGUGCAUGUUUUAUGAAUCAAGUCCACCAUGUAUGCCGUAUUACGUGCAUAUUUCACGGAGAAGCGUAGCACAUCCAGCAAUUCCACAUUCAACUUUCUCGCAAUCUCUGCAGCUUUGAAAAGUUUGUCCCCUUAAGCCAAUAUCUAGUCUUCAGAUUGCCUUGUAUGUAAUACAUGCAAUACCCGUGACGUACCUCGAAAAAAACUUCAGCGAUACCAUUUAUUGUAAACGGUCCCAGAUCAGUUACAAAGGCGAGGUCCUUGACUUUCCCAAUCACUUUCCUUAGCUUUGUAAAGAACCAACGCAUUAAUAGAUCGUUCUCACUGUUAACUAUGCUAAAUGCAAAAGCGUAAAUUUGGAUGUUGAUAUCUUGACAUGUAGCAGUAGUCAACUUGCCUUGGUAUCUAGCUUUCAAAGUUGUACCAUUGACUAGAACUACGGGUCGCAUCGCAUUUUGAAAUCUUCAAAUGCAUUGUCCAAGAGCCACGAAGAAAAACUUAAAGCAAAUCUCACCCUCCGUCUCACUAAAAAAUGUCGAGCCCGGAUUAGU